UACGUAGGGAGCGAGCGUUGUCCGGAAUCAUUGGGCGUAAAGAGCGCGUAGGUGGAUCAAUUAGUCUGCUGUGAAAGUCAAAGGCUCAACCUUUGAAAGCCGGUGGAUACUGUUGAUCUAGAGUACGGAAGAGGCGAGUGGAAUUCCUGGUGUAGCGGUGGAAUGCGCAGAUAUCCGGAGGAACACCAAUAGCGAAGGCAGCUCGCUGGGUCGUUACUGACGCUGAGGCGCGUAAGCGUGGGGAGCAAACAGG
rnacentral:rRNA from 1 species